rnacentral:lncRNA from 1 species
UAUAAUUUGGGACUUAAAGAUUUUGAGCAUUUCUUAAUCUGAUUUGCAGGUGAUGAUCUGCUGCCAGAAUAAAUAAAUCUUAGGAAGUGCCAAGACUGCUCAGCCAUUUGCUGCGAUACCACUCCCACAUAAGGAACCUGUAUCAUCACCUUUUUUCAAGCAGCUUCUCCACCGUGAAUCCAGCAGCUGUGAAAUUUAAAGUUAAGUAUCUUCAGGGGUUCUGAGACAACGCUUGAAG